GGCGUGUCGUCAGCUCGUGUCGUGAGAUGUUGGGUUAAGUCCCGCAACGAGCGCAACCCUUGUGUUUAGUUGCAAACAGGUCAAGCUGUGCACUCUAGACAGACUGCCGUGGACAACACGGAGGAAGGUGGGGAUGACGUCAAAUCAUCAUGCCCCUUAUGAUCUGGGCUACACACGUGCUACAAUGGCCGGUACAACGGGCAGCGAAGGAGCGAUCCGGAGCGAAUCCUAAAAAGCCGGUCCCAGUUCGGAUUGCAGGCUGAAACUCGCCUACAUGAAGUUGGAGUUGCUAGUAAUCGCGAAUCAGAAUGUCGCGGUGAAUGCGUUCCCGGGUCUU
rnacentral:rRNA from 1 species